UACGUAGGGGGCAAGCGUUGUCCGGAUUUAUUGGGCGUAAAGAGCGUGUAGGCGGCUUGACAGGUCUGCUGUGAAAACUCGAGGCUCAACCUCGAGAUGUCGGCGGAAACCGUCUGGCUAGAGUCCGGAAGAGGAGAGUGGAAUUCCUGGUGUAGCGGUGAAAUGCGCAGAUAUCAGGAAGAACACCCGUGGCGAAAGCGGCUCUCUGGAACGGUACUGACGCUGAGACGCGAAAGCGUGGGGAGCGAACAGG
rnacentral:rRNA from 1 species